GCAAUCCUUUUUAGAUGCAAGAAGCAUCCAGGAUAGAUCCCAAGAUGAGGACGAGCUUGUGGACACGAUGUUGGAGGAUAAGAGAGAACUUGAGGCCCAGACUGAUUUGGAUACAGACCUGAAUGAGGAGGAGAGUGAAGAUUUGGAAGCCAGAAGCAUCCAGGACAGAUCUAAAGAUGAGGACGAGCUUGUGGAUGCGAUGUUGACGGUUAAGAGGGAGCUUG